rfam:Megasphaera genomosp. type_1 str. 28L contig00042, whole genome shotgun sequence.
UGAGUAGGAAAGGCAAUCGCUGGUGCGCAGGCAUCAGAGGAAAGUCCGAGCUCCGCAGGGCAGGAUGCCGGAUAACGUCCGGCGAAGGUGACUUUAGGGACAGUGCCACAGAAAUGUGUACCGCCACGAACGUGGUAAGGGUGGAACGGUGCGGUAAGAGCGCACCAGCGAUAUGGUAACAUAUCGGCUAGGUAAACCCCAUCCGGAGCAAGACCGAAUAGGGAAGGGAUGAAGCGGCCCGCUGAUCUUCCGGGUUGUGUCGCUUGAUCGUGUCAGCAAUGGCACGGCCAGAUAGAUGAUUGUCACUGCACAGGCAGUACAAAACUCGGCUUAUUGAGUACUCAUUUU